UUUAUGGAGAGUUUGAUCCUGGCUCAGGAUGAACGCUGGCGGCGUGCCUAAUACAUGCAAGUCGAGCGAACGGACGAGAAGCUUGCUUUUCUGAUGUUAGCGGCGGACGGGUGAGUAACACGUGGAUAACCUACCUAUAAGACUGGGAUAACUUCGGGAAACCGGAGCUAAUACCGGAUAAUAUUUUGAACCGCAUGGUUCAAAAGUGAAAGACGGUCUUGCUGUCACUUAUAGAUGGAUCCGCGCUGCAUUAGCUAGUUGGUAAG
rnacentral:rRNA from 1 species